rnacentral:rRNA from 1 species
UACAGAGGGGGCGAGCGUUAUUCGGAAUUAUUGGGCGUAAAGGGCGCGUAGGCGGCUUUGCAAGUGAAGGGUGAAAUCCCUCGGCUUAACCGAGGAACUGCCCGUCAUACUGCUUAGCUUGAGACCGGGAGAGGUGAGUGGAAUUCCCAGUGUAGCGGUGAAAUGCGUAGAUAUUGGGAGGAACACCAGUGGCGAAGGCGGCUCACUGGACCGGUACUGACGCUGAGGCGCGAAAGCGUGGGGAGCAAACAGG